AUUGAACGCUGGCGGCAUGCUUUACACAUGCAAGUCGAACGGUAACAGGGAGCUUGCUCCGCUGACGAGUGGCGAACGGGUGAGUAAUGCGUCGGAACGUGCCGAGUAGUGGGGGAUAACGCAUCGAAAGGUGUGCUAAUACCGCAUACGUACUGAGGUAGAAAGUGGGGGACCUUCGGGCCUCACGCUAUUCGAGCGGCCGACGUCUGAUUAGCUAGUUGGUGAGGUAAAGGCUCACCAAGGCGACGAUCAGUAGCGGGUCUGAGAGGAUGAUCCGCCACACUGGGACUGAGACACGGUCCAGACUCCUACGGGAGGCAGCAGUGGGGAAUUUUGGACAAUGGGCGCAAGCCUGAUCCAGCCAUGCCGCGUGUCUGAAGAAGGCCUUCGGGUUGUAAAGGACUUUUGUCCGGGAGCGAAUGCCUGGUGUUAAUAGCACUGGGAGCUGAGAGUACCGGAAGAAUAAGCACCGGCUAACUACGUGCCAGCCGCCGCGGUAAUAC
rnacentral:rRNA from 1 species